GGGGGGCAGUUUUCUUAUAUUUAUACAUAGUAAAAAAAGCUUGUGAACACUCUAGAUGUCACAUUUUUUGCCCAAUCAUCAUGAAACUUGGUGAAAAGAUUGGUUUUUUAUAUAUCACAUAAUUAAUGCCAUAAUUAUUGCCCUUAGAUUGUCCAAAUUUUUAUUAUAUUAUACAAAAUCCUUGUAAACACUCUAGAGGUCACAAUUUUGUUUCAGAUUUUAUGAAUCUUGGUCAUAAUAUUUAUUAUUGUACGCAAAGUUUGAUGUUUGGUAAGGGGGGGUCAACUCAAAAUAUAGGUCACCAGGUCAAAACACUCCAUAUGCCAGAGUUUUGGUUCAAUAAUGAUGAAACUUGACCAGGAUGUUUGUCUGGACAAUAUCUAGUUUGACGUUUGAUAAAGAUUGAAUGAAACGACUCCUUUCAGGUGAGCGAACUAGGGCCAUCUUGGCCCUCUUGUUGAUAGUAGCUGUCUGGCAUUAACAUUCAGUCAUUUGUGUUCUAAAACCAAUUACUUUUCUGUGUGUUCAUCAGUGUGUUGUGCAUUAGUCAAUAUAGAUUUAUUUUCCAAGCUUCAAUUUAUUUCAAGUUUAUUUAGAAAUGAUUCUUUCAUAAAAAUUCAGGCUUAAUGUUUAAGCCCCUGCCAAUAAAGAAUGCAUUGUAAGCUUUUGUGUGCAUCAUUUGUAGGUUUGUUCUUUGCCCAUUGUUGUGGACUGUGUUGUCAACAUUUAGCUUGUGAACACUCUAAAGGCAACAUUUAUUGUCCAAACAGCAUGCAACUUAAUCAGAACAUUUGUCCGUUGAAAUAUAUGUAUGGGAAAUUCAGUUGAGCGCUGUAGGGCCUUUUUCCUAUUUGUAUAUUACCCUAGUAUCUUGGUGCACGAGGCAUAUACUUAUUGUCCGUCCCUCUGUCUUUCCACCCAUGGCAGGUGCAGAAGACUUAAGUUAAGUGUAGAACCAGUUAUUGUUACAACUAUAUGAUACUUUUCCUCUUGUUUUUUCCAUGCCAUUUCCUGUCUACCCAUUUUUCCCAACUCUUACCCAGAUUUUUACCAUAUUUAAGAUCUAGGUUAUCCAGCACCAAUAUAUAAAUUGAUCCUUUUUUGUUCAUCAAACACAUCCAUCUCUAAUUUAAGUUAUAAUAAAAUCAGCAGUUCUCAUAAAAAGAGGCAUUAAGUUGAAUGUAUAUAUUUUUUAUGUCCAGUUAAAAUCUGCCAGUGUAUGAUUUUGCAUACCUGAUCUUAUUACCGAUUUGUAAUGCUUAUCAAAUGUUUUAGUAUUGGCUUGUACUGGUAUUUCACAUGUUUUUACAAUUUUGUGGGUUUUACAUUGCUUUGGAAAAUCGUUUUUGCUAUGUUGCACAUUUGUGUAUUGUAUGGAAAACUUAGUAUAAGUAAUUUGAUAACGCUGUUUCAUGUAAAGGCAGAACUGUUUAAGGUGUGUUGAUCAUGUUUAUAUAAUGUCUGUCUUUUUACUUAUUAUUGAAAUCCAAAACAGUUAGCCAUAUAAAUCUCUUUCUAAUUUGUCCAUUAUUGUAUUGCUAUGUUCUGAUCGUUGACUGUUAUAACAAUCCCCUUUCAUUAUAAGAUUCCAUCCUUUAUAAAAAUAACCUUUGAUUAUUAGUAACCCCACCAUUUGAAAAAUCCCCUUCCAUUCUAAGAAUCACCUUUCAUUUUAAGAAUCCCCUUUAUAUUAUAAAAAUCCCUUUUCAUUUUAAGAAUUCCCUUCCAUUCUUAGAAUCUCCUUCCUUUCUAAGAAUCCAUUUCGAUUAUAAGCAUCACCUCUCAUUUUGAUGCCUACAGUAGGGUGGCAUAUAGCAUUUUAACUGUCUGUCUGUCCGUCAGUCUGUCCGAAAACUUUUAAAUAGGCCAUAACUUUUGCAAUAUUGAAGAUAGCAACUUGAUAAUUGGCAUGCAUGUUUAUCUCACGGAGCUGCACCUUUUGAGUGAUGAAAGGUCAUGUUCAUCCUUCAAGGUCAAAAGUAAAAAAAUACAAUCCAAGGGAAGUAAUAAGCUUUAAAAGGGAGAUAAUUUCUAAAUCUGACAAAUGAUAUAUUGAAAUUUUAUUUAAAAGUGGCGCAAUAGGGGGCAUUGUGUUUCUGACAAACACAUCUCUUGUUGUGCAUCUAUAUUCACAUGUGUGAUCACUGACUUACAUUGCUUGUAUGAACACUUUCUCACAUUAAGUGUUUUUUUUCAUGGUUUUCUGUUGUGGAUUUUUCUUUUAAUUUUUAAAAGCUAAAUUGUAGAUGUCAUUAAAGUAUAAUGGAGAGCAACCCUCUGUUGAGCAAUGGUUGGAGCCUGUCAGUGGUAUCCUUCAUAGUUAUUGGCCAGAUUUUCCACACAUCUGAAGGUCUAUGUAAGGUUUUACCCAGCGGAAGGUUUGUUGAUGUUGAAUUACAUUUUUGGUGUAUGUACUACAUGUACUAACAUUUUUAUGUCCCACACUCACUAUAGUGGGGGACAUAUUGUUUUUGCCCUGUCUGUUGGUCUGUAUGUUGGUCUGUUUGCUCCAACUUUAAUAUUUGCAAUAACUUUUUCAAUAUUCAAGGUAGCAACUUGAUAUUUGGCAUGCAUGUGUAUCUCAUGGAGCUGCACAUUUUGAGUGGUGAAAGGUCAAGGUCAUCCUUCAAGGUCAGAGGUCAAAUAUAUGUGGCCAAAAUCGCUCAUUUUAUGAAUACUUUUGCAAUAUUGAAGAUAGCAACUUGAUAUUUGGCAUGCAUGUGUAUCUCAUGGAGCCGCACAUUUUGAGUGGUGAAAGGUCAAGGUAAUCCUUCAAGGUCAGAGGGCAAAUAUAUGUGGCCAAAAUCGCUCAUUUUAUGAAUACUUUGGCAAUAUUGAAGAUAGCAACUUGAUAUGUGGCAUGCAUGUGUAUCUCAUGGGGCCGCACAUUUUGAGUGGUGAAAGGUAAAGGUCAUCCUUCAAGGUCAGAGGUCAAGUAUAUGUGGCCAAAAUCGCUCAUUUUAUGAAUACUUUGGCAAUAUUGAAGAUACCAACUUGAUAUUUGGCAUGCAUGUGUAGCUCAUGGAGCCGUACAUUUUGAGUGGUGAAAGGUAAAAGUCAUCCUUCAAUGUCAAAGGUCAAACAAAAAACCAAAAAAUUCAAAGCGGCGCAAAAGGGGACAUAGUGUUUCUGACAAACACAUUUUUCAAUAUUGAAGAUAGCAACUUGAUAUUUGGCAUGCAUGUGUAUCUCAUGAAGCUGCACAUUUUGAGUGGUGGAAAUUCAAAGUCAAGGUUAGCCUUCAAGGUAAAAAAAUAAUAAAAAAUUUUGUUUCAAAGCGGCGUUCUCAUGAAGCUGCACAUUUUGAGUGGUGGAAGUUCAAGGUCAAGGUCAUCCUUCAAGGUCAAGGUCAUCCUUUAAUGUCAAAGGUAAAAUAAAAAUAAAAAUUCAAAGCGGCGUUCUCAUGAAGCUGCAUAUUUUGAGUGGUGGAAGUUCAAGGUCAAGGUCAUCCUUCAAGGUCAAGAUCAUCCUUCAAGGUCAAAGGUAAUUUUUUAUUUAUUUUUUCAAAGCGGCGUUCUCAUGAAGCUGCACAUUUUGAGUGGUGGAAGUUCAAGGUCAAGGUCAUCCUUCAAGGUCAAGGUCAUCCUUCAAGGUCAAAGGUAAAAAAAAACUUUUUUCUUCAAAGGGGCGUUCUCAUGAAGCUGCACAUUUUGAGUGGUGGAAGUUCAAGGUCAAGGUCAUCCUUCAAGGUCAAAGGUAAAAAUAAAUAAAUUUCAAAGCGGCGCAGAAUGGGACAUAGUGUUUCCGACAAACACAUUUCUUGUUAUUUACUAAAUUUUUGAAGUGGUGCUAUAUAUUAAAUAUUAAUAUGAGUUUUUGAGAGAACAAAACUGAAGUCGUUUCUGGUCAAUAGAUUUUGUUUUACAACUAUAGAUUUUGAAUCUGAACUACGGUAGCGCACUAACAUGUUUUCAUGUCUUUAAGUGUACUAUAUAACUAUAUUUAUAAUUUUUGAUCUAAAGAGUACUUAUUAUUGCAUGGAAGAAUAUAGUUAAGAAGUUCUAUAACACACAAAAUCUAAGUAAUGAUUUUUUUUAAUGGUAUUAAUGACAAUCUUUCAACAAUAUAGAUGACCCCAUUUUUAUUGUUCUUUUUUAUAAAUUGGGUGUUGAAUUGAACCCAUAAAAAAGACAUGAAUGUUAAAAAAUUUGGGCUGAUAAUGUGCUGACUGGUUGAUAAGUUGAUAUAUAUGUGUGUAUUCACUAUUUUGAAUUAAAAAUAAAUUGAGGUUUGUAUGAAAAACACAAAUACCUCAUAUAGUGUCCUACAGCUACUAUCAUGAAAACAUGCAUGUUACUUAGUUAAAUCGUUUUGUAUUUGAACAUUAUUAUAUGUCUGAAUAAGCACUUUUAUUUUUAUAUGCAUGAUGUUUUGCGUACAUAGUAAAUAUGCAUCAUUUAAUGUCUUUUUGUCUUCUAUUCUGUAACCUGCUUUUCUUAUUUAAACUUAUUUUUUAUAGUGUCAAUGUUUUAAGUGUAUUAUUUUACUAUAAAUGCACAUUGGUUUUAUAUGGGUAAAUAAUUGUAUACAUGUAAAUAUCAAAGUAUUAACUAGGGGAUAUGGAAGUUUCAACAGCGAAACAUAUUUAACAUAUUAAGAAAUACGAUAAAUGACAUUAAAAAUAAUAUACAUAAAAAAUGCUCUAACACACCUGACAAAAAUUGUUUUAUUUUCUAAAUAAAAUUGCUUUUAAUAGAAAUUGAUGUAUAUUUGGUAUGAAUUUGAGUUUCAAUUUGAAUUUAAGCUUUACUUUAUCUAAUGUAACAUGCAAACUAUUCGGUGAAAAGUAAAAAAAACACCUUGGUCUAAAAUAUGAAAGUCAACGGUCAAAGCAUGUUUUUGUUGAUGAUGUGUUAAAGGUGUAUGUAUUAAUGUAUUAAAUCAAAACGUUUCAUCAUGUAAAUAUAUCCUGGUAACUACAUGUAUAGUUCAAUGUCACUUUGUAUUAUACAAAAACAUGCGUGAUAACUGUACAUAGCUGGUUGUUGUCAUUGUGUUUACAUACAUAUUUUCCUGGUGAGAAGCUACUUUUGUUGGACAUUAUAUUCCAUGUUAAUAAAUGUAUAACUUACUUUAUUUUUGAACUAUGUUGUGGGGAUAAAACUAAUUACUUUGUAAAUAUUUAAAGAGGCAAUGAUGCAUGGCUAUUAGAUCUCUUGGGCUUACAAAUAAAUUGUUUAAUUCAUAGUCAUCUGAAAACCAAAUUGUUGUUUAGUAACUAAAAAACAUUUGACAGAUAAACAAUCAUAAUACAUUGAAAUUUAUUGCAUAAUUUUAUUAUCAGCAUGUAAAACUUACAUCUUUAUAUAUAACUUUGGUAAGUGUUAUCCAAGUUGUGCUGAAACUCAAUGAUGUGUUAUAUGGCUCACAAGAGCACAAAUUGGUAUUAAGGACCAGUGCUUAGCCAAAUAUGUAAGCUCUGUUGGCUUUAUCUCAUGAUAUAAAUUUGAAUUGUUUUUUUUUGUGUUUAUUUUGGUGAGGAUAGGUACAUGUAAAUAAAUUGCUGAAACCACAAUAAUGCCUUCAAUGUUAUUACCAAAACUUGUGUGAGAACAAUUGUCCCAAUAAUAUAUACAAUAAGUUCAAAACUUCGUCAUGUGGGGUCAGAAACUAGUUCACUAUGUCAAAUUAAAGAAAAUGUGUAUGAACACUCAGUAAUUUCUUUGCGCAAUCCUCAUGGGACUUAAUAUCAAUAUUUUUUCUAAUUAUUUUGCAGAUACCCCAAGUAAGUGAGAAACAAUAUCAAGGGGUAUUACAUUAAAGAUGGACCAUGCUUUAUUCCUGUUAAAACAUGCUUGAUGACGGUUCUAAUAAACUAGCACUUGAUAUCUAUUACAACAUGCAUGUUGACUGUCCCAACCUGCUUCUUGAUAUCUAAAAUCUUUCCAUGACUGAUAAACCUUACUUGUUUAUCUAUUUUUUAUUGCAAAUUUCAUAUGAUCAAUUGUAUUGAGUUCAGGCAGAUUUCUGUAUGUGGCUGUAGUUAAAGCAAUUGCGCACUCUAGGUCACAUUGCCCUCACAUGAAGAAACUUUCUCAAAACAUAAAAAUUGGCAUACAUCAAGGCUGAGUUCAAUAAUAAAUGUGGUUUGUUGACAAACCUGGCUACUGGGUAUUUGGGCAGUUUUUCUUAUUACUCUGAAACUGUUAACACUACCUGCUCAGAUGGUUUGGGUGUCAGGUGGGCGGGGAAGGGCCAUUUGCCCUCUUGUUAAUCAAGUAGUAAUUUCUGAUAGCUUUAUGUCUCUAUGUAGUUUUUGCUCAUAUUUUCAUAUGCAUCAAGUCACAUGACUGUUGAUCAAUAUACUGGAAAGAUGUUUGCAAAUGUGGGAUACACAAAUAAAAUGGCAAAUUUGUA